CUCAUUGAUCGGAAGGAAUCCCUUCUGGAUGAUGAGGUAUAGCUUCCUCAUCAACCGGAAGGACUCUCCUCCGGUCAAUGAGGAAGCUAAACCUCAUCAACCCAAAGAAAUCCCUUCUGGUUGAUGAG
rnacentral:miRNA from 1 species